rnacentral:rRNA from 1 species
CAGUCAUACCAACGGGAAAUCAACCUUUUGAGCUCGGUCUCGUGGGUUUUGAAGAGUUUCAAAGCCUUCGGAUUCGCGGGAUUGGGAUCUCUCGGUGUACUUUUUCGUACGGUUAGUCAACAUCGGUUUUGAAUGCCAUAAAAUGACUGGAGGAAUGUAGCUUCGAUCUCGUAUUGAAGUGUUAUAGCCUCUGGUAGAUGUGAUGUUUGAGACCGAGGAUUGCAACGGAUACCCUUCAGGGCUAUUCGUCUGAUCUCUGAUACGUUGCCCUGAUGUUGAAAGCUUGCUUAUGAUGUUAGGGUAUUACGGUCAAAAGGUUAGAACGGAUUAGA